rnacentral:rRNA from 1 species
GAACAUCGACAUUUUGAACGCAUAUUGCGGUCCAUACUGACUAGUUUCUUAAUUGAAGCUGUAUGGACCACACAUGGUUGAGGGUCGUUAGUUUAUGCUAACUGAAUUGCUUUUUAAUUAAAGCUACACCAUGAGGUGUUGUCAAUCUUAAGUGUGUUGACAUCCCUUGAAAAUACCUUUGGUACACAAUUUUAUUUAUUGUGAAUGCUUGUUUUAUCAAAGAAAACAAAUAUCUAAAAUUUAAAAUUUUCUAUUGGAAAAUUUUUGAAGCUAGUAAACUUUGAUUAGGCGUUUAAACAUAAUAGUUUACGUAUUUGAAUGAUAUCCUGAACGCUUCAAAAUAUAAAACCAAUAUGCUUUUAAAUGAGUACGAUGUUUAUUCGUUAAUUUUCUUUGUUGUAAACGUUCCCAUACUAUGUUGAAAGCGGGUGGCAUUCUAUAGAUCCAAUAAAUUUAAUUGAUACACAAACCAAAAGCGACCUCAACUCAUGUGAGACU